rnacentral:rRNA from 1 species
GAUGAACGCUGGCGGCGUGCUUAACACAUGCAAGUCGAACGAAGCACUUAUGACAGAUUCUUCGGAUGAUGGAUUAAGUGACUGAGUGGCGGACGGGUGAGUAACGCGUGGGUAACCUGCCUCAUACAGGGGGAUAACAGUUAGAAAUGACUGCUAAUACCGCAUAAGCGCACAAUACCGCAUGGUAUGGUGUGAAAAACUCCGGUGGUAUGAGAUGGACCCGCGUCUGAUUAGCUAGUUGGUGGGGUAACGGCCUACCAAGGCGACGAUCAGUAGCCGGCCUGAGAGGGUGAACGGCCACAUUGGGACUGAGACACGGCCCAAACUCCUACGGGAGGCAGCAGUGGGGAAUAUUGCACAAUGGGGGAAACCCUGAUGCAGCGACGCCGCGUGAGUGAAGAAGUAUUUCGGUAUGUAAAGCUCUAUCAGCAGGGAAGAAAGUGACGGUACCUGACUAAGAAGCACCGGCUAAAUACGUGCCAGCAGCCGCGGUAAGAC